rnacentral:lncRNA from 1 species
AGUUGAGAUCAUUGUUAUCAACAGCCCCUUUGUCAGGCAAGGGGAUCUUCUCAGUGGCCAGUUGAUAUCUGUUUAAACACCAGCAAAGCAGCCCUCUU